rnacentral:rRNA from 1 species
UGGGGAAUUUUGGACAAUGGGCGAAAGCCUGAUCCAGCAAUGCCGCGUGUGUGAAGAAGGCCUUCGGGUUGUAAAGCACUUUUGUCCGGAAAGAAAUGGCUCUGGUUAAUACCUGGGGUCGAUGACGGUACCGGAAGAAUAAGGACCGGCCAACUACGUGCCAGCAGCCGCGGUAAUACGUAGGGUCCAAGCGUUAAUCGGAAUUACUGGGCGUAAAGCGUGCGCAGGCGGUUGUGCAAGACCGAUGUGAAAUCCCCGAGCUUAACUUGGGAAUUGCAUUGGUGACUGCAAGGCUAGAGGGUGUCAGAGGGGGGUAGAAUUCCACGUGUAGCAGUGAAAUGCGUAGGGAUGUGGAGGAAUACCGAUGGCGAAGGCAGCCCCCUAGGAUAACACUGACGAUCAUGCACGAAGGCGUGGGGAGCAAACAGG